UAACCAUGGCAAAGGUUUCGAGCUGCCGCAUUGUGGUCUUUUUGGCCGCCUUUGUUUGUCUUCUGUCAUUGAUGCAAAGCGACGGCCAAUCAUGUGCCUAUGCAGUCCGAGUUAUGCCUAUAGGUUCUCAUGCAGGAAUUCCCAUACCUCCACGAGCACCAGCUGGAGGGCGACCAAGUGGGUCGCGUCCGGCAUCGCCUGGUGGCAGGAACCCGGGACGACCAGGUGGCAGAGGCUGAAGGGUCUCCCCGUGGAGAUAACUUCGCCACCAUGGCGAACCAUUGAAAUAAACGUAGAAUAAAAUAGUAUGGA
rnacentral:lncRNA from 1 species